rnacentral:rRNA from 1 species
GGGGAAUAUUGGACAAUGGGCGAAAGCCUGAUCCAACGACGCCGCGUGGGUGAAGAAGGCCUUCGGGUUGUAAAGCCCUUUAAGCCGGGACGAAAAAGCUGCACCUAACACGUGCGGCCUUGACGGUACCGGAAGAAGAAGCACCGGCCAACUACGUGCCAGCAGCCGCGGUAAUACGUAGGGUGCAAGCGUUGUCCGGAAUUAUUGGGCGUAAAGAGCUCGUAGGUGGUCUGUUGCGUCGGCUGUGAAAACCCGGGGCUCAACCCCGGGCCUGCAGCCGAUACGGGCAGACUAGAGUUCGGCAGGGGAGACUGGAAUUCCUGGUGUAGCGGUGAAAUGCGCAGAUAUCAGGAGGAACACCGGUGGCGAAGGCGGGUCUCUGGGCCGAAACUGACACUGAGGAGCGAAAGCGUGGGGAGCGAA